CAAUGUUGCUAAUUACUACAUACCGCCGAAUGCGGCAUAACUCGCGACCCUCGAAUUCCAAAUCCCAGAUUACCGGCGCAACAGACGCCCUGCCGCCGGAACGGGCGCCACCCAUCUUCCGUACCGCACCUACCUUCUCCUAUAUCCACAGUUAUUAUAUAAUAUCUGCGAAUAGUACCUGAGAAUUCUUCAAUCCACCGCAAUUGCCUCGGUCCUGAAAUUGCGGUUAAUUAUUCCCCCGUUGAAUUUUACAACGCGUACAACUUUCCCCGAAGUAUUUAUUUUUUUGUUCUGUGUUAUCUCUCUUUCUGUUUUUGUUUUUUUUUUCCUCCCCCGCCCCCGUUCUUUCCCCGUAGCCAUCAUUUUCAUUUAUUCUAUUCAAAUUUUCGUCACUCCCGUAAUUACCCUAUAGUCAGCUGUUGACCCGUUCCGAGGAAUGUAGGUACACGCGGUUAGCUCGGGUAGCGAAUGUACAUACAUACAUAUAUAUAUACAUAUACCUGCAGGUAUAUACCGUGUAUACUCCGUUGACUAGUUUUUGCUACGUCUCAAACUCCGCGUCGCAGGGGCUAAUUGGUUAAUGCAAAUGACAAGAGAGCUGCUUGUUCGUCUGCCUCUGGCUCCGAGCAGUUCGUUACAGAAAAGUGGGGAACUCCGUCGUCAGGCAACUUGCAGACGGAGGCUUCUGGACGCAGUUGCGGUUCGCAAGAUAUUUUCACCGAAGCGUCGCUCGAGGAGAAACCGCGACGUUCUACGUACGUACGUACCAACGGGUGUAUCGGCUACGUGUAUUCCUGUCAUUGUCACUCCUUGUCACGAAAUUCUUUUUUUUUUUUUCUUCCCAUUUUUUUUUUGGAUUCCUUCUCUUUUUAGCGGAAUUUCAGCAAUCUACCUCGAGAAAUAUAUUCCACCUUGGCGUUGGCGUACCUAAAGUAAUACUUGGUUGGAUACUUUUCAGAGAAACAUUAUUAACCAGCCGUCGUAUCUUUGACGCUCGAUGCAGAAAUGAAAAAUGAAAUAAUAAUAAUAAUAAUGGAAAAAAAACCCCUUUCGCAAAAUGUUGUAAAAGCGUAUAAAUAAGCGAGUUAUAAA